rnacentral:rRNA from 1 species
CAAUACCGGUUCUCGUUAGAUCACCGAAGUUAAGCAUCAUUGGGCGCGGUCAGUACUUGGGUGGGUGACCACCUGGGAAACACUGCGUGCUGU